GUUGAAGAACGUAGCGAAAUGCGAUACUUGGUGUGAAUUGCAGAAUCCCGUGAACCAUCGAGUCUUUGAACGCAAGUUGCGCCCGAAGCCAUCAGGUUGAGGGCACGUCUGCCUGGGCGUCACAUAUCGUUGCUCGAUGCCUAUCGCAUUGCGAUAGGACUUAGGGCGAAUGAUGGCUUCCCGUGAGCGUUGUUGCCUCGCGGUUGGUUGAAAAUCGAGUCCUUGGUAGGGUGUGCCAUGAUAGAUGGUGGUCGAGUUAGCACGAGACGGAUCAUGUGCAUGCUUCCCAAAAUAUGGCCUCUGUGACCCACACGCGUCUUUUGACGCUCAUGAUGAGACCUCAGGUCAGGCGGGGCUACCCGCUGAAUUUAAGCAUAUCAAUAAGCGGAGGA
rnacentral:misc_RNA from 1 species